AGGAUUCAAUUGUACCAUCCCAUUUGCAUGUUAAACGUACCUUUUCAUUUUUUUACAAAAGUUCUUAACAAUAGAGCUAUGAAAAUUCCUGAUAAAACAAUUUCUAAAGCUCAAUCUAUGUUUAUAAAGGCUCGCUACAUCCUGGACAAUGUGCUUAUGCUUCAUGAAGCUAUCCACUCUUUACGUAGAAAUAAAUGUUCUAAUGUGCUUUUUAAGGUUGAUUUCGAAAAAGCUUAUGUUAAAAUUAAUUGGAGUUUCAUGCUUGAUGUCCUAAAGAUGAAAGGCUUCCCUGAACGUUUUGUCCAGUGGACAAAAGACGUCGUUAGUAAUGGAAAGUUAGCCAUCACUAUUAAUUAUGUAAUUGGCCCGUAUUUUGUUACUAGGAAGGGUUUGAGGCAAGGGGACCCAUUUUCCCCCUUGCUUUCCAAUUUGGCGGCUAGUAUUCUGGCUACCCUGGUGCAAAGGGUGCAAGAACAAGGAUUUAUUAAGUGUGAUGCCUAG
rnacentral:rRNA from 1 species